ensembl:lncRNA
AUUUUUUCUAGUUGAUUUCUAAGAACUUCAGCAACAAGAUGAGGUAGACGAAUGCACCAAUUUCAUUCUGCUUUCUUAAUGUUUUCUCAUCUGUUAUGAAAAAUAGAAGUGCAUCCUGGUUGUGGACCAACUUCUCUUAAAAGCAGAAGUCUCGAUAAUGCAGCAUAUCUCGAUCGAUUUGUUCAGGUCAAUGAAAGCAAUAAUUAUCCUCACGCUAGACUUCACGCUGCUUUUCAAAAGCAGAAUCCUCUCAUAUUUACUGCUUGCUUCAAUGGAACACAUUUCUGCUCAACUUCCAAGUGUCAGAAAUUGCCCUGAGACAGAAAGAGAGAAGGAAGACAAGAGAAGAGAAAACAUUAUGAAAUGUCAGCAGCUCAAAUGGAUUACUGUUCAAUAUCAGUCAAGACACUCUGAAAAGGAAACGCUGAGGUGCUCUCUUGGCUUAUCUCCUCAGCAGUGGACGUGUGGCGGGACGAUGUUCUAGGAAAAUGAACUGUCGCCAUAUCCCUCAAACGCAUCUCCAUCACACACUCUGAGGCGCAUACACAAAUAUAUAGCCACUCAGGCAUCUCUGCUGUUUGUGCAGACCUUGUUGCCUCCGGAGGGGCAAUUACCGAUGCUCACAACCUGUCUGAGGUGUCAGUGGAUGGGCUCCCAUCCCAAUCCUCUCCCUCUGUCCAUCUCUCCUCUCCAUUAUCAGCAGGGUAAAUAAUGCCCCUAUCUCUGAUGCGGAUGGAGAUGUGACUGGGACAACAGAUCCAAUUGCCCUCCGCUCCAUUUAUCUUUAGCAGUUAAAGUGGCGUUUUAGCGUUUAGGAGAACUCUGAGGUGAGACUAACAACAAACCUGCACGGGCUCUGGGAUGCAAUGGAGAAUAGUGCAUAAAUGUACACUAUAUUAUAUUAUAUUAUAUUAUAUUAUAUUAUAUUAUAUUAUAUUAUAUUAUAUUAUAUUAUAUUAUAUUAUAUAUGGCUGCUAAAAUAAAUAAAUAAAUAAAUCACAGAAAUGUGCCCUAAUGAAUAAUCUAUUACCGUUUCAUGUUCCCUCACAGGCCCAUCAGUUAGUGUCAGUUGCUGGAUUUCGCUAAAAAUGAUUGUUCACUACAAACAAACAAACCAAUCAGAAAGAGCUUCAAAUAAAUAAAUCAAAUUAAAAGUACAUUAAUACAAUUAAACAAAAUAGAAAUGUAGUAAAUACUAACUUACAAACUAAAUAAAUCUGCAAUAAUUAUUUUAACCUUUUAACAGUCCUACUGUCCCUUUAUUUAGUGUUUUAUAGGUUUAACAAAGCUAAAUCUAAAUCUUUUUAGAUUACCCCCUGCAUAUCCUGGGAUAUAGGAAUCACUACACACACACACACACACACACACACACACACACACACACACACACACACACAUAUAUAUAUAUAUAUAUAUAGCCUAUAUAUAAUCAAAAUGUAACAAAAAUUUACAGUACACACCCAUAACAAAUUAUAUAGAGAAAGCAAGCAAAGAACACAACAGAGCUUUUUGAAACUCGAAUAUCAGUUAAACCAUUGCGUCGCAAAAUGAUUCACUGUUUCGAAGAGCUCCAAUCGGAUCGCAUAUUUGCCCAUCCCAUCCCCCGGCAAAUCGCACCCUGUUUUAUAUAUAUAUAUAAGAAACAGAGGCAUGGAUGUAUUGUUCACAAUAAGCUCAAUAAGAUAAUAUAAUUAGAAAGUCCUUUUUCAUUUUAUUUGAAUACUACUUUAAGUAAAUUUCCCAUGCAUCUCUUUGUUUUCAAAAUUUACAAAAUAUACAUUUUUAAUUGUUUAAGACAGAGGCUUGACUUAAAAGACUCAAUGGCAACUCGUCUUUUUCUGUUCUACGAGAGACAAUAAGAGCUGGAAACCCUCUGCCAGGAAACAGGUUGAGGGGCUUUUGGAAGCCCUUUCAGUAGGGUCCACUCAUUAGUGGUCAGCUGCACCCUGAACAUUCAGACUCUCCUGUCCCCCCUCUCCUCCUCUCCAGGCCCUGAUGAAACCCUUUUCACUCACUCAGGGAAAGAAAAUGGGGGCAGGAGGAGGAGAAAAUCUUAGAGGUGCAUUGCACAGAGAGUCCUGUAUGUCAACAGGCCCAUAAUGAUACCUGAUAGCCCCUGGAAAACACUCCUGUCUCUUUCCCCCUUUUCUUCUUUCUUUUAAUUUCCCUCUUUUCCUUUUCCUAGAGCCCUUCUCUGUCCUACACGCCUUGGACGUGAUGCGCUUGAAAGCAUAAUUAGAGGUAAAACAGUGACUGUAUCUCCCAUUAUCCUUCUACGUGACUAUCACAAAGUCCUUUGUUUUUAAACCUCUCUCCUCAAAAUUCUCCUUUUCUCCCUGACUUUUUGAAAAGAUGCUCUAAAGAAGGUGGGUGGAGGGGAUGGGGGGAGUGUGAGGGUGAAAAGUGGGAGCAAGAGAGAAAGAGAAAACGCAAGAGAGUUCCCUCUGCGAGUCGCCAAGGUGCUCUCUAGUCCAUUGUGCAGUGUGCUGUCAGGUUAAAUUAGGGAGUACAGGCUCUGUGAGUGUAAAAAAAUCAAUACUUGAUGGAAGAUUGCUCCCCGGAAAAUCUGUUUUGAUUCCAGGAUUAAUUCUUGACCAAAGGCUCUGCUGAAAUGACAUGCCAUUAGGGCCGAAAAUGAACACAUUCGGCAGUGGAAAUUGGAUGGAAAUGUGUCAGGUGAUUGCCCCGGCUGCUUGUUUUGCUCCUGGAGAGCGAGAGAGGAAGGGAGAGCGCGUGAGGGGGAAAGCGCGGCUCUGGAGGAAGGUGUGGAGGCAAAAAGCCUCGGAUCCGCAGGCCCCUCGGAAUCCAUUUUCAGGCCUUCGCCGCAUCCCUCCGGAGUAUUCUCUGGGCCAUUGUUGUCCGGCUCCUGCAAAUGCACUCUGUGCAAGGUGAAAUGCAUUUGUGCACUGGCUGCGUCUCUCCUGUGUGUUCCCACAAAUCACAAGAUGAAGAAUAGCCCAUCUUAAAAUAAAGCAGGGACCUCUUUUCUUUGUCUCUGUGGUGCGGAUGAAAGAAAGAGAAAAUGCAAUAUUGAUGAGAGUAAUGUGUUUGUCAUCACUUGUAGCAUAUCUCCAGCACCUGAGUACAAGAAAUGAAAAAUCAAAACACUAUUCGCUAAGAUAACAUGCUUUAAAAGCAGUAUAAAGUGAGAGUUAAAAU